UUCUAGUUACGAACGUGAGUUACGAACGCGUUCCACGGAUUCCCCGAGAAUGCGGACACCCUGUUUCCAUCGUUUUCUCUCUCCCCUCAGACCGGUAAUUCAAUCGCGACCUGUUUACACGGUGGAACACGAUCAUCCAUCAACCCGUUUGCCCCCUGUUCUUUUUCCCAGUAUUGUUUGAUUUCUGCGACCCAUUGUCCCACGCUUCCUUUUCCUUCCGAAUUGAUUCGGAUGGAAUCGUGUUGCGGAAGAAAAAAAAAACCCGCGUACAAGGAAGUACGUGAGCCUGAAAGAUGCCAGUAAACAGUGGGCUGUGAAGUCACGUUAAAGUGGAUCAACUUUCUUCACAUUUUUUACACGCGAUGGUCUUUUGUUUUUUCCGUGACGAGCCAGUGCUUUUAACCUACCAAGUUUAAUCCGAUCUCGAGCGACGAGAAGACGUAUUUCCGAACUAUGAUGCUUUUUUAUUUCCGAAAAAAAGGGGGAAACGCACAAAGAAAAAAGAUUUGCGGCGUUCAUGGUGAUGAUGUAAACGUAAGAAUGGUACAGAGAUGGUUUACAAAGUUUCAUGAUGGAGAUUUCAACCUAAGUUUUCUCACCAGAAGCGGCCCGGUAGACUUGAUGUUGACAAUGUUCACUGGGAAGUUCUUAUCUACAUUCCCUUGAUUAUCAUUUAUUUAAAUUAUUACAAAAUUCGUUUAAUGGCAAAGAUUUUGAUUCUCUAAAGACUUGCAAAAAAUGCAUGUGUCUGCAGUUUUUGCUGAGAAGGAUAGUGAAUUUUG